rnacentral:rRNA from 1 species
GCCGAGCGGUAGAGAUCUUCGGAUCUUUGAGAGCGGCGCACGGGUGCGGAACACGUGUGCAACCUACCUUUAUCAGGGGGAUAGCCUUUCGAAAGGAAGAUUAAUACCCCAUAAUAUAUUGAAUGGCAUCAUUUAAUAUUGAAAACUCCGGUGGAUAGAGAUGGGCACGCGCAAGAUUAGAUAGUUGGUGAGGUAACGGCUCACCAAGUCAAUGAUCUUUAGGGGGCCUGAGAGGGUGAUCCCCCACACUGGUACUGAGACACGGACCAGACUCCUACGGGAGGCAGCAGUGAGGAAUAUUGGACAAUGGGUGAGAGCCUGAUCCAGCCAUCCCGCGUGAAGGACGACGGCCCUAUGGGUUGUAAACUUCUUUUGUAUAGGGAUAAACCUUUCCACGUGUGGAAAGCUGAAGGUACUAUACGAAUAAGCACCGGCUAACUCCGUGCCAGCAGCCGCGGUAAUACGGAGGGUGCAAGCGUUAUCCGGAUUUAUUGGGUUUAAAGGGUCCGUAGGCGGACUCGUAAGUCAGUGGUGAAAUCUCAUAGCUUAACUAUGAAACUGCCAUUGAUACUGCGGGUCUUGAGUAAGGUAGAGGUAGCUGGAAUAAGUAGUGUAGCGGUGAAAUGCAUAGAUAUUACUUAGAACACCAAUUGCGAAGGCAGGUUACCAUGUCUUAACUGACGCUGAUGG